UACAGAGGGUGCGAGCGUUAAUCGGAAUUACUGGGCGUAAAGCGUGCGUAGACGGUCAUGUAAGUCGGAUGUGAAAGCCCCGGGCUCAACCUGGGAAUUGCAUUCGAGACUGCAUGGCUUGGGUGCGGAAGAGGGAAGCGGAAUUUCCGGUGUAGCGGUGAAAUGCGUAGAUAUCGGAAGGAACACCAGUGGCGAAGGCGGCUCUCUGGAACGCAACUGACGCUGAGACGCGAAAGCGUGGGGAGCAAACAGG
rnacentral:rRNA from 1 species